UUGACUGAAUGAUUUGGGCUAAUCACUUGGAUUUUCUGUCCUUCAGGAGGAUCAAUAAAAAUGGAGAGACAGGCUGGGCAUGGUGGCUCAUGCCUGUAAUCCCAGCACUUUGCAUGGCCAAUGUGGAAGGAUUGCUUGAGGCCAGGAGGUCAAGACCAGCCUGGGAAACAUAGGGAGAUCCUGUCUCAGGAAUAGAUAAAAUAAAAUAUAUAAAUGGAGAAACAUGCCAACAUGGUUUUUGUGAAUAUUACAUAUGAUAAUACAGGUGAAAAUGCUUUGAAAAAAAAAUUUCUUCCUCAUAUACAUGGUGGUAAUCUUGCAAUUACAGAAAAGCACCAGCAGCCAAUAAAAUGUUCCAGAUUGAGCAAUAAGCUUAUAACAUUGAUAAAAGUAAAUGAAAUGCCUCUUGUCCAUCUCUUCACUAUAGAGUCAUGCAGGGCACAGCAUGCUCACUUGCUUUACAGGUGUCAAAUUAAAAGGAAGAAGCUGAAGCAAAUUUAAUAUAAGUAGAGAGUGUAUUUGAGCCAAGCUUGAGGAUUGCAGCUCAGGAACAUAGAUUCAAGUUGCCCUGAAAUACACUUCAAUCAGCAGCAGUUACAUGUGGAUAAGCUGUUAAUUGUCUAUUCAUUGUUCUUUGUAUCACAAAUUCCAAGAAUAUGAAGAUAAUGGGUGAGACAGCUAGUCAGGAACAAAAUGAGUUGA
rnacentral:lncRNA from 1 species